rnacentral:piRNA from 1 species
UUAGUCCCGGUCAGGAUGGG